GGAUGCGAAGGCAAUCUGGCUGUGCCGUCUUUCAUCCCACUGAUCACCAGGGUUGACUGACUAGUUAGGUGGGUGUCUACUGCCUUCCUCACAUGUGCGGCACUCCUUAAGCUGUGUGAGCAUUUCCUUGAUCAAGGUUUACAAGCAGCUGUGCUCCCCUGGUAGAACCUCCUAGGACCAAGCUGUAUAAUAGAUACUAGAAAUGGGAAUAAAAUGUUCAAAUAGGAAAGG
ensembl:misc_RNA 7SK 7SK RNA